rnacentral:rRNA from 1 species
AUGUACAAGAUCGUGUCUAAGUGCUUGGUCAAUCGGUUGCGACCGUUGUUGGGUGAGCUGAUAUCGGAGAAUCAAAGCGCAUUCAUCCCUGGGAGGCUUAUCUCAGAUAACUCAAUUGCUUUCAAGUGCAUCCAUCAUAUACAAACUACGAAACCAAACAGUCCUGCUGCUUGUGCUUACAAGUUGGAUCUCUCGAAAGCAUAUGAUCGUGUAGAUUGGGAGUUUUUGGAGCAAGCCCUAAUAAAAUGGGGGGUUUCGAUGGAGUGGAUUACAUGGAUUAUGGCCUGUGUGAAGUCUGUGAAAUACUCGGUUAAGUUUAACGGCAAGCUACUGGAGUCGUUUUCUCCUUCUCGGGGACUAAGGCAAGGUGACCCCCUGUCUCCCUUCCUCUUCCUGUUUAUAGCUGAUGCUCUGUCCUCCUUGUUAUCCAAGUUAGUGCAUGAGGGAGAGUUUAAGGGGGUUCAAUCUGCCGUGGUGCUCCAGUUAUCUCACAUCUAUUGUUCGCCGAUGAUACUAUAUUACUGUUUGAAGCAUCGAACCACCAAGCUACCAUUGUGA